AUCUGGGGAUCUUGUUAUAAAGCAGAUUCUGAUUCAGUAGGUCUAAGACACAGCCUAAGAUUCUGCAUUUCUAACAAGCUCUGCAGUAAUGCUGA
rnacentral:pre_miRNA from 1 species